rnacentral:snRNA from 1 species
AGCUUUGUGCAAUGGCAGUAUCAUAGCCAGUGAUAUUUAUCCAAGGUAUGAUUGUUGCUAAUUGAAAAAUUCUUUACUGUGCAGGG